CGGUCUCUUUCACUGUCGCUUUCCUCUGCCAGUCUCCUCCCUCUCUCCCCGCUCCCCCGUGCUGAAACCGAACUUUUCUUUCUCGUUCCUGGUGGUCAGGACCAUGUGACUUCGACUGCUAGACCUCACAAUGCAGACCCAGUCGGCUCGAAGCUGCACCCGACCUUGAGGGACCUGGAUGGCUAUGAGGAGAGAAGGGCGGGCGUUUGUGGUGAUACUUGAGACCGCGGGAUCCUGAUUCAUCAGAUAUCAAAAUGGCGGGACUGGAAAGAAGCCCGAGAUAACAAACGUACCUUAGUUUUCCCUGGAGGACAACUCUAACUGUUCGCAGAAGAGCCAGUCUUCCACCCAAGAGGAGCCAGUGACUCUCUUUGGCCAGUCAUGUUACUGCAUGGGCCGUUCUAAAAUUGGCUGAUAUAUCAAAGGGCCAACAAGAGUAGCAGUGUAAACUGCUGGAAGGAGUAACUGUAACUGUAACUGUAACUGUCCCUACAGGAUCAUAUCCCAGGGAGCUUCAUUAGACUGAGGGAGCUCUAGGAGCCACCUUGUAUUUUGAGGUGAAACUGAGGAUGGAACCCAAUGCUUCUCUGGGGACUGUGGAAUCAUGUUAGACUACUUCUGGACUUCUUUUACAUGAGAGAGAAAUAAACUCCUUAUGACAGAGAGAAUGAGAGACAGAGAGCAUGAGAGGGAGGAAGGUCAGAGGGAGAAGCAGACUCCCCGCCGAGCAGGGAGCCCGAUGCGGGACUCGAUCCUGGGACUCCAGGAUCAUGACCUGAGCCGAAGGCAGUCGCUUAACCAACUGAGCCACCCAGGCGCCCCUCAAAGCCCUCUAUUUAAUGGUUAAUUCCUACUGAUUCUUCUGGUCACUGAUUAAAUGACACUUCUCAUUAAAUCU